CGCGGCCUAUCAGCUUGUUGGCGAGGUCAUGGCUCACCAAGGCGACGACGGGUAGCUGGUCUGAGAGGAUGGCCAGCCACAUUGGGACUGAGAAACGGCCCAGACUCCUACGGGAGGCAGCAGUGGGGAAUCUUGCGCAAUGGACGAAAGUCUGACGCAGCGACGCCGCGUGGGGGAUGACGGGUUUCGGCUUGUAAACCCCUGUUGCCCGGGACGAAACGCUUCUUUCGAGGAGCUUGACGGUACCGGGUGAGGAAGCACCGGCUAACUCUGUGCCAGCAGCCGCGGUAAUACAGAGGGUGCGAGCGUUGUCCGGAAUCGCUGGGCGUAAAGGGCGCGUAGGUGGCGCCGCAAGUGAGUGGUGAAAGCUCGACGCUCAACGUCGAGUCGGCCACUCAUACUGCGGGGCUGGAGCACUGUAGAGGCUCAUGGAAUUCCGGGUGUAGCGGUGGAAUGCGUAGAGAUCCGGAAGAACACCGGUGGCGAAGGCGGUGAGCUGGACAGUUGCUGACACUGAGGCGCGACAGCGUGGGGAGCAAACAGGAUUAGAUACCCUGGUAGUCCACGCCGUAAACGGUGGGUACUAGGUGUGGGUUUCCUUCCUUGGGAUCCGUGCCGUAGCUAACGCAUUAAGUACCCCGCC
rnacentral:rRNA from 1 species